rnacentral:sRNA from 1 species
UUUUCUUUUUUUACUUAUAAACACCGUUCCCAGAGGCUGAGAGAGGAUGAGCUAUGUUUUGUCAUCUUCACUUACACUUUAGCUCAAAAAAGUGGUCAAGUAGGUAAAACAGAAAGGGGCUCAUACUCAUCUUAUGGGAGAGAAUCAAACUUACAGGGUUGCCACCAGCAGAGUCUCCUUGGAGGUGACAUGGAUAUGGGCAACCCAGGAACCCUUUCGCCCACCAAACCUGGUUCCCAGUACUAUCAGUAUUCUAGCAAUAAUCCCCGAAGGAGGCCUCUUCACAGUAGUGCCAUGGAGGUACAGACAAAGAAAGUUCGAAAAGUUCCUCCAGGUUUGCCAUCUUCAGUCUAUGCUCCAUCAGCAAGCACUGCCGACUACAAUAGGGACUCGCCAGGCUAUCCUUCCUCCAAACCAGCAACCAGCACUUUCCCUAGCUCCUUCUUCAUGCAAGAUGGCCAUCACAGCAGUGACCCUUGGAGCUCCUCCAGUGGGAUGAAUCAGCCUGGC